rnacentral:lncRNA from 1 species
GUGGCAACCCUAACUACUUUUCACAUACUCUUACUUAAGUAUGGAAACAAAACUUGUGUGGACUGGUUGACAAUGAAUAUAGUUAAAGGGACACUAUAGUCACCAGAACAACUACAGCUUAUUGAAUUUGUUCUGGUGAGUAGAAUCAUUACCAUCAGGCUUUUUGCUGUAAGCACGGUCUUUUCAGAGAAAAUGCUGUGUUUACAUUACAUCCUAGGGAUAACUUCACUGGCCACUCCUUAGAUGACUGUUAGAGAUCCUUCCUGGGUCAUGGCUGCCUAAAAUGCAUCCAAACAUUCAGUGUCUCCUCCCUCU